AUUUUCUUCCACCCACUUCAAAUCUUCAUCAGAAUGGUCAGGAGUAAGUUGAGCUGUUCCAGUUGAAACUGCUUUUGAGGUUCUUAAUUUUAUCCCUUUGGUUAACUUUUCAGAUGUUACCGGAAGUCUUCAACUUCAUCAUGACAGUUGUCUAAUGAUGGCGUGAAGGCAUACCUCUGAUCUCGUGCUGAUGGUCUCCAUACAAACCUUACUACAGUGAAGAGAAGUGUAAGAGGAAGUUCCAGAAUGCACUGACCCAGAGCUCCGCCAACCUGACUCGAAUUUGGAUUCUGUCUUCCAUGCCCACACCACAAGCAGUGGAGAUGAGAGUGCACCUGCUGUCAGAGCUCAACGAAAACCCUGGGAGUGGAGCUGCUCUUGAGGCGAGCUGCUAGCAUUCUGAGGGUAAAAGCUGAAAGAUCAGAGAAGCAGAGCAACCAGCCACUAGUUCUUACCUCUAUGAAAUCCUCAGCCUAAAGAGAAAUUGUUCCUGUUUCCUCAUGUCUUAUAUACCUUUCUCUGCCCUGCAAUAUUACUUCCUGGGAUUAAAUGUGUGUGUGUGUGUGUGUGUGUGUGUGUGUGUGCGUGCGCUUCCACUGCCUGGCUGUUUUCUCUCCUAUACUAGAUCAAUCUCAUGUAGCCCAGUGUGGCCUUGAACUCACAGAGAUCUAUCACUCUUCAAUUGAUUCCUUUGAAGCAGCAUCUCUCCCUGAACUUGGGGUUCUUGUUUCCAUGUCUAGUUGGAAGCCAGAAAGCCUCAGUGAUCAUCUCAUCUUUACUUCCCUUGGAGCUGGAAUUACAGCUGUGCCCAUGUUUGUGUGUGUAUAUGUGUGUGUGUGUGUGUGUGUGUGUGUGUGUGUGUGUGUGUGUGUGUGUGUGUCCUCAGAGGCCAGAAGAUGGUGUUGGAUCCCCUGGAGCUGGAGUUACAGACAGUUGUGAGCUGCCAGUGUGAGUGCUGGGAACUGAACUCUGGUCCUCUGUAAGAACAGCAAGUCCUGUUAACUGUUGAGUCAACUCUCCAGUGGAGCCUUGCUGUGUUUGAAUAGGUUAUUUACUAGUGGGACAAGAAGCUGAGAGGCAGUUCCUGCCUGGAACUAUAUAGAGCAACUAGUCUGGGCCUGAAAGGGAUGCCAAGGCUCUCUCUAAAUCUCCUUAUGCAGGAGAUCUGCCAACAAUUAAGCUCAUAGGUAUGCCAGGGCUUACUGGGUGAAGCUAACGCAUACAUGCCGCUGCUAAGAACCUUUUCAUAUUUCAGAUAUAGACUGGGGAGGAUAGACAGUUCCUGCUUGGAAGGGCAGGUUGUCGGCCUGGUGGGUAGAGCUAUGGCUUCUCUCACCCUUUCCAGUGGCUGCUGACCUCUUUUCUAGAGAGAAGGGUGCAACUCAGCAGAGAAAGACUCAGGUCUGGGGGUUUGUGCAAAGCUCUGGACUCAUUCUUUGGAGGGAGAGGUGCUAACCAGUUGUCGGAUUUUCUGGAGAGUUCUGAGUCUACCUGAGAGGGCAAAGGGGAACUAGAGGGAGAGAGACGGUGGUGUCGGCUUAAAUAGCUUGCUAGGAUCAAAGUGGAAAAAAAAAACCUUCUAGGUCAAGGACUGGUGCAGAAGCUGCUGAGCAGACUCAGCCAAGGGCAGAAACCAGAGGCGAAGGACAGAGGCUGAGCUGGAACCAGUUCUUCUAUGGGAGAAAUCCACAGCACAGACAUCCUCGCAGACCCCACGGGAUGUACCAUAUGCCUCAUGAGAGAGGAUGGGUCAGUUCUAAGAGAUCCUGCUCUCCGUCCUCUUCCUUCCUGUGCUGGUUCACAUCAGCUUGACACGACUGGAGUCCUCUGAGAGGAGGGAGCCUCGACUGAGAAGAUGCCUCCCUCCCGAAGACUGGGCUGUAGGCAAGC